rnacentral:lncRNA from 1 species
AAAUGCAGAAACGCAUGAGGAAGAAAAUAAAAAUCACCUAUAGUUCCAUCAUCUAAUAGGAAUCACAAUUUAUGUGUUGUUGCUUUCCAUGUCUCUUAAACCACUGAUUUCGUGGUGCUAAUUGUGAUAUAUACUUACAUCAGUAGUACACUUGCUUUUUUUAAAAAAAUUCAAAUAGCGCAAUUGUUGAACGCAGAAAGUAAAGAGCUCCUGUAAUCCUCUCCCCGUGGUGAUGGAUGCUUUGCAGUUGGUCAUCUGUUCUGGGAAUUCUCCCCACUCUAUCCGUGUUUUCUAAUACUCUUCUAUCACAUCCUGAACGUCUCCUUUCCCCACCCUCUGCUGUCUUCAAUCCACCUAUAUUAGCCGGGGAAUUCUUGGUUGCAGACAACAGGAUCCACUUCAGCUAGUUUAAGCCAAAGCGGAUUUUUGAAGGCAUAGAGAGCUCACAGAAUUAUCAGGAGGGCCGGAGAUGCAGGACCUAGGCUGGCUUCCAGGGACAACCGGCUUCCCAAGUCACACUGAAGAACUGGCUCCCCGAGGGAGCUGCCACCUCACCAGGAUUCGGAAGCUGCCAAGUCAGGAUGUUACUGCCUUGGCUCCUGUCUCCGGAACCGGGCUCCCUCUGCCACAAUCCAUGCCAACAAAACGAUGCCCUGUUCCCUGUCUCUAUCUCCAU